ACAGAACGGAGGUGGCAGUGACUGGCAGCGAUGUAGACCAAUAAGAAACGGAUAUAGGUCGUCCGUCUCGGUUGGCCCGCCCCAGUACCCUUCCUAGUUGCCUCCGCUGGGUUUCAAUGGCGGCGAGUGUCUGGAGCGCUGUGGUUCUUUCUCUAAAGUGUCGCGGGCGUUAAGGGCGCGGCUUCACGGACUGCGGAAGACGCAAGCAGAGUGCCUCAGCUGGGAGGACGUUCGGAGCCCAGACCCUGAAGAGAUACUUCAGAAAGUGAAAAUGUGUGUUGGUAAAAACAGCUGCACGCGCAGCAAGAGCACGGCUUCCCGGUUUCCUCCCAGAACUUACCAGCAGGGGGCAGCGCUGCACAAACCCUCACGCUCGAGUCCCUCUAGUCCCGCGGUCCUAGCCUUUCGGUCUCCUGCUGCCCAUCCAGCUAACUUCCAAAACGCCUGUCGCCUCCGGGCGUGGUGGCGCACGCCUGUUAUCCCAGCACUUGGAGGCUGGGGCAGGAGGAUCCUUGCGAGUUCGAGACCAGCCUGAACUGCAUAGCUAGACCCUGUCUCAAAAAGACAAAAACAAACUGCCCGUUGCUCCCCUGCUCCGAAACAAUGAGCAACAGCGUUUCAGACAUGCCUGGGCAGGUCCUCGCUCGUGGGAUGGAGGGCAAGGACGAAAUGCUUUCCAGUCUCAGAGUAUGGAUCCAGGGCUCGCUAAGUAAGUUGCCUGUAUUGAGCUCCAACUUGACGUCCUCGUGCUUCGAUCUCUCAGACUGCUGGGUUCCAGGUGGGCAUCACCAUGCCUGGCCAGAUGGAGCUGCAGGUCUGACCCAGACUCGCGCGCUUGUGAACCUGACGCACGUCUUCCCUGCAGACCAUGCACCUAAGGGAGCGGGGCCCUGCCUGGGUUCUGCCCUCUGAAGCCAGCCGUGCCGAGCACCUGCUGGGUUGCUAGGAGAUGCUCCCUGCUUAUUGAAUAGGAAUAUCAGUCAAAAAACAAAAAAGAUUAUAAAUCUAGACCUUGACCCCACGUAAGGAAGGAGACAAGGUGUGCUGCUGCUUUAAAAUAAUAAUGGCCGGGCAUGGUGGCAGAUGCCUGUAAU